AUGCCCGUUUCCGCCGCGCCCCUCCUCUCCCACCCUCGCGCGCGCCGGAACGCCGCCUUCGGCAAACCUCGGCUCGUCGCGGCCCUCCUCUUCCUCCGCGGCCUGGCUCGUCUCCUCGCGACCCGUCCGCUCUUUCCGGUCGCCGCUACCGGUCCGCACGCGCCCUUUCGGCCGCCGCCGUUCCGGUUUAGGGGGCGGCUGCGCUGCUGCGCGUGCGCCCGGCGGCGCGGGGGCGGGGGGCGCGCGGAGGAGCGCGCCGGCCGCCGCCCCCGCCCCCGCCCCCGCCCAAGCGGGCUCCGGCCGGGAAGCCCGUGGUUGGGCGGCGGGCGGACGGUGAGCCGAGGUGCUCGUUGCGUGCGCGGCGGCCCGAGCUCCCUCGAGGCCCUCUCCUCGGAACCGGGGCCUCGCUCCCGCCUCAGACCGGCGGCAGACCCAGAGCUAGGCCUUCGGUCUCACAGAAGUAAAUCAUCCCCGGAAGCUCGGGAAAAGAGCAGGUGGUGUUCAGGGUCACCGUGCUUUGUGCCCGAAGCCCGUGCGCCUUCGAAGACCAAGGCCACUGCAUUAAACCAUGGCAGCAGGGAGCACACGGGACUUAUGAGCAGGUGUCUGUACUUGCAGCCCAGCCCAGCGCAGCAGGACCAUAUGACUCCAUCGGCACAGCUCCAAACUUGUGUUAGUGUUGACUGCUUGAUACAGGUAGUGUGCAACUGUGUGGUACCAAAUUCCCUCCUUUUAAAAUGUUUUUCAUCUGACUUUUCAUCCUUCCUUGCAUCAUGAAGCAUACUUUUAGAAAAAGGGAUAUUCAUCAUCUAUAUAUUUAAAAAGCCAUCUUAUAUCAACAUUAAAAAAUUUCAUCUGCAAAAUUGUAAAAUCGAUUUUUGUUGUUUUUCUACAUGGAAAGUUACUUUCCUGUCUGAAGGAAUAUUAAAUGUAUAUUUUUACUUAUUUGACUUCACCAGGAUUUAGCUGGGGCACCCGAGAUCUUCCUUGCAGAAUGCCAUCACUUAGGUGUGGCAAAUGGGAUCUAGUUCCCUGACCAGGGGUGGAACUCAAGCCCCCUGCAUUGGGAGCACAGAGUCUUAGCCAUAGGGCCACCAGGGAAAUACCCUAUUCAACGGAAUAUUGACCUGUUUAUAUGGUGAAUAGAUUUACCUACAGAACACUACCAAUAUGAAAGCUCUCUGUGGCAAAAAAGACUUCCUGCCAGUAUCUUUUCAUUCUUAGUAGAACGCUUGAUUUUUAGUGGGACUAUCUCUGUCCGGAAGACUGUAUUUCCUUACUUCCCUGUAUCUUGAGGUUGCCAUGUGAUCAGCUUCUGUCUAGCAGGAUAUAAGCAGAAGUGCAUGAAACUUCUAGGGAAUCCUUGAAGAGAAAGGGCUAUUCCACCUCUCCUUCCUCUGGCACAACGUGAUGUGAUGGCUGGAGCUUGACUAGCCAUCUUGAGCUGUGAAGUGGAAGCCAUGUGCUAAGGGUGGUUUCCUGGCACAGUGGACAGGCAUAUCAGCCCAAGAGAGACUACCGACAGCCAGAAUUUUUUUCUGUGAGAGAAAAUAAUCUGCUAUUUUGGUAAGCAACUGUAACACGGGAUUUCUUCUUGCUCGUAGCUAAGUCUAAGUCUGCUCUCAAAUAUGGAAAGAAAGAUCUGAAACUGCGUUGUGCUGUGCUCUAAGUUGUUUAAUUUGGAGUGGGUGAUCAUGGCAUCUCCAUUUGAUGAAGAAAUUCAAAUCUGAAUAAUGUCCCCACAGUAAAAAAAAAGAAAAAGAACAAUACAGCUCACUUCAGUCUUUCUUCACAAAGAUGUCGGUACCUUUACCGUGAUGUUCACUUCAUUUGAAAGAAUAAUAUGUCUUGACAAGUGAAAUAGAUUAUCUAAAGCAAAAUACCUUGAUACUUUAAAUUUGCUAACAAACAGACUCUGUUGUAUUUAUUUUCAAUUCUUGUGUCUGUUGCAUUUGUGGAAAAUUCAUGUUCAAUGAAUUCAGGAAAUUAAUGUUGAAUUAAUAGUAAGUGAAGUUUGUAUUGAAGAUUAUUGCUUCUAGAGGGCUGUUACCUUAUUUCUUGAUCUAGAUGGUGGGUGCAUGUAUAUUUACUUUAUUUUUAAUCCAUUAAACUGUACAUAUGGUUAUGUGCUUUUCUGAAUUAAUAUAUUUCAUUAAAAUGAUUAAAAUGUAAAU